rnacentral:lncRNA from 10 species
CUCUCAUUUUUAUUACCUACCUGACCCCUGAAGGGUUUGCCUUUUCCACCUCUCGGUCAGGGUGGGGACAAAUCAGAAAAUGCUGAGUGCCAGGCUGAGCAGGGUAGACUUUGUCUUUGAGUAAGCUGAGUUUUGAAGGAUGUUAAGAAGGGACUUGACAUAAGGAAGUCAAUGGUAUGUGGGAAAUAGUGAUUGACUGUGUAUAAGGACUUAAGGGGAAGCGUUCUUCUUUUUUUUGAAACGGAUUCUCGGUCUGUCUUCCGGGCUGGUGCGAUCUCAGCUCACUGCACCCUCUGCCUCCCAGGUUCAAACGAUUCUCCUGUCCCAGCCUCCCGAGUAGCUGGGAUUACAGGUGUGAGCCACAGCCCCCGGCCG